UAGUAGUACGGAAUAAUUGUUGGAAACGGCAACUAAUACCGUAUAUGCCCUACGGGGGAAAAAUUUAUUGCUAUUAUAUUAGCCUAUAUUAGAUUAGCUAGUUGGUGGAGUAAUAGCCUACCAAGGCAAUGAUCUAUAGCUGAUCUGAGAGGAUGAUCAGCCACACUGGAACUGAGAUACGGUCCAGACUCCUACGGGAGGCAGCAGUGGGGAAUAUUGGACAAUGGGCGAAAGCCUGAUCCAGUCAUGCCGCAUGAGUGAAGAAGGCCUUUGGGUUGUAAAGCUCUUUUAGUGAGGAAGAUAAUGAUGGUACUCACAGAAGAAGUCCUGGCUAACUCCGUGCCAGCAGCCGCGGUAAUACGGAGAGGGCUAGCGUUAUUCGGAAUUAUUGGGCGUAAGGGCUGGUUAAUAAGUUAAAAGUGAAAUCCCGAGGCUUAACCUUGGAAUUGCUUUUAAAACUAUUAAUCUAGAGAUUGAAAGAGGAUAGAGGAAUUCCUGAUGUAGAGGUGAAAUUCGUAAAUAUUAGGAGGAACACCAGUGGCGAAGGCGUCUAUCUGGUUCAAAUCUGACGCUGAAGCGCGAAAGCGUGGGGAGCAAACAGGAUUAGAUANCCUGGUAGUCCACGCUGUAAAC
rnacentral:rRNA from 1 species